GAUGAACGCUAGCGGCAGGCCUAAUACAUGCAAGUCGGACGGGAUCCAUCGGCGAGCUUGCUCGAAGAUGGUGAGAGUGGCGCACGGGUGCGUAACGCGUGAGCAACCUACCUCUAUCAGGGGGAUAGCCUCUCGAAAGAGAGAUUAACACCGCAUAACAUCAACAGUUCGCAUGUUCAGUUGAUUAAAUAUUUAUAGGAUAGAGAUGGGCUCGCGUGACAUUAGCUAGUUGGUAGGGUAACGGCUUACCAAGGCGACGAUGUCUAGGGGCUCUGAGAGGAGAAUCCCCCACACUGGUACUGAGACACGGACCAGACUCCUACGGGAGGCAGCAGUAAGGAAUAUUGGUCAAUGGGCGGAAGCCUGAACCAGCCAUGCCGCGUGCAGGAUGACUGCCCUAUGGGUUGUAAACUGCUUUUGUCCAGGAAUAAACCCAGAUACGUGUAUCUGGCUGAAUGUACUGGAAGAAUAAGGAUCGGCUAACUCCGUGCAAGCAGCCGCCGUAAAAC
rnacentral:rRNA from 1 species